rnacentral:rRNA from 1 species
UACAGAGGGUGCGAGCGUUAAUCGGAAUUACUGGGCGUAAAGGGUGCGUAGGCGGUGAGAUGUGUGUGAUGUGAAAGCCCCGGGCUUAACCUGGGAAGUGCAUCGCAAACUGUCUGACUGGAGUAUAGGAGAGGGUGGCGGAAUUUCCGGUGUAGCGGUGAAAUGCGUAGAGAUCGGAAGGAACGUCAAUGGCGAAGGCAGCCACCUGGCCUAAUACUGACGCUGAGGCACGAAAGCGUGGGGAGCGAACAGG